rnacentral:rRNA from 1 species
GACAGAGGUGCCAAGCGUUAGGCGGAAUCACUGGGCUUAAAGCGUGUGUAGGCGGAAUUGUAAGUACCUUGUGAAAUCCCACAGCUCAACUGUGGAACUGCUCGGUAUACUGCUUUUCUUGAGCCACUUAGGGGCUGUCGGAACAAAUGGUGGAGCGGUGAAAUGCGUAGAUAUCAUUUGGAACGCCAAUGGUGAAAACAGGUAGCUGGGAGUGUGGCUGACACUGGAGACACGAAAGCCAGGGGAGCAAACGGGG